GACGAACGCUGGCGGCGUGCUUAACACAUGCAAGUCGAACGAAGAGCGACGGAAGCUUGCUUCUAUCAAUCUUAGUGGCGAACGGGUGAGUAACGCGUAAUCAACCUGCCCUUCAGAGGGGGACAACAGUUGGAAACGACUGCUAAUACCGCAUACGAUCUAACCUCGGCAUCGAGGAUAGAUGAAAGGUGGCCUCUACAUGUAAGCUAUCACUGAAGGAGGGGAUUGCGUCUGAUUAGCUAGUUGGAGGGGUAACGGCCCACCAAGGCGAUGAUCAGUAGCCGGUCUGAGAGGAUGAACGGCCACAUUGGGACUGAGACACGGCCCAGACUCCUACGGGAGGCAGCAGUGGGGAAUCUUCCGCAAUGGACGAAAGUCUGACGGAGCAACGCCGCGUGAGUGAUGACGGCCUUCGGGUUGUAAAGCUCUGUUAUUCGGGACGAAAGGCCUUCUUGCGAAUAGUGAGAAGGAUUGACGGUACCGGAAUAGAAAGCCACGGCUAACUACGUG
rnacentral:rRNA from 1 species